AAUACUAGCCAGGAUUCCCUAGUGACUGCAGAGUGAAGCGGGACCAGGCUCAAUGUGUGAAUCUGACUUGGGGUAAACCCGUGUCCGAGUUGUGCACUAUGGACGUUUCGUCUGCGUAUGUAACGGCGGUGGAAGUCCGUUGAAACACGGCACCUCAGAGGGUCACAGUCCUGUACCACCUGCCUGCACUCGCGCCAAUGACAAGCGCUCCUCGAGUCGCGUAGUUUUGUAAUGCUGCGCCAAGUGGAGGUAGAGCCUUCUAAGGCUAAAUAUGAUGACGUGACCGAUAGCACACAAGUACCGCGAGGGAAAGGUGAAAAGCAACCAUGAAAAAUGGGUUGAAACAGUAGUGAAAGCGCUUCCGGGAUAAGGGCUAUCGGGUGCUGGGGCUCUUUGGUGUGCUUUAGUGCUACCCUUGGAGACGGCCCGCGCGGGUUGAUGUUGGGGUGAUAAACGCGCCGUUGGAUUCGGCUGUCUUCGGGAGUGUUGUAGCCUUCGGUUGCCGAUCCUCCUGCGACCUUGUGUGAAUGCGGGUCUUGUGACCGUUACCGCCCGUCUUGAAACACGGACCAAGGAGUGCACCUUGCAUGCGAGUCGAAGGGAAUUGAAACCUGGAGGCGUAGCGAACGCGACGAUGGGGAAUGUCCUUGUGGCAGACACCCGCACCCGCCUUGUGCGAGGUAGAGCAUGUACGGGGCGACCCGAAAGAUGGUGAACUAUGCCCGGGUAAGGUGAAGCCAGGGGAAACGCUGGUGGAGGCCUGUAGCGAUUCUGACGUGCAAAUCGAUCGCGUAACCUGGGUAUAGGGGCGAAAGACCUAUCGAACCGUCUAAUGGCUGGUUCCCUCCGAAGUUUCCCUCAGGAUAGCUGCGUUCCUAUUGGAGAGUCAGUUGCACUGCGGUAAAAGCGAAUGAUUAAGGCGUCUCGGGGCCAUCAUGGCCUCGGUUCAUUCUCAAAACUCCGAAUUGCAUGGCAAUCCCGGGCUGGGAACCUUGGGGCACCCCCGGCCAAAUCAU
rnacentral:rRNA from 1 species